ACCCCUGCCCAGGGCCCACUGACCCUUCAGGGAGAGGGCAGACAAGGGACAGUCCUGAGGGUGCUGAGGGAGGCAGAAGCUUUGGCAGGCAGGGCCCAGCUUGGAUGGAGGGAGGGACACCCCACACUCACCGAUGGGCCAGGCAAGCCUGGGAAUCCUCUCUCACCACGCUGCCCAGGCAGACCGACGAUGCCUCUCUGUCCCGCCAGACCCUGGGGACCUGGUGGACCAUCGGCACCCUGAGAGAGGAGAGGCGGGAGAUGAGAACUGACAGAGUAGCCCAGCCUCUUCCGCCUUCUCAGCAUAGCUCUGUCUGUGCAGCCCCGCUCCCUGGCAUCCCCACGGCCCCUGCUCCCUCCCACCCCAUGCUCUGUGAGCUCAGAAGCCACUCACGACCCUGCUCCCAGGGACCUUGGCAUGGGCCUGGUAAGGGACUUACAGAGGGACCAUCAUCUCCAGGCUCUCCUUUCUCGCCAGGGGGGCCAGCAGGACCUUGGAGGCCAGGGUCACCAGCUCGGCCAGGGGGGCCGCUGUCUCCUCGAGCACCUUUGGGACCAUCUUUUCCAGAAGGACCAGGGGGACCAGGGGGUCCAGGGUUGCCCUAGAAGGAGAAAAUGCGGGAAGUGAGGGCUCAUCUCACCCUUCCUCAUCCAGGCUGCCAAAGUCACUAUGGCCUCAUCGACAGCAGUUUCCUCUCUGGGGGCUUCUCUACCUCCCCACACUAAGGGCAACCUAACCCCCACCCCAAUCUACCUCUGCAACCUUCUCACCAUGUAAGACAGCUCUGGGAAGCCACUCUGGCUUCUCCAGCCCCUGCUCGCUUUGCUUUCACUCAUCUACUUGGAAUCCCUCCUUCCUCCUCCCUUUGUCCUCAAUCCCUCUUCCUCAGGAGCUGCUCCACCCCUGCCCCUCUGACCCCUGAGCUUGACCCCAGCAUUCACUCCCCCUGCCUAUGGCGCUGGUGAACUCAGUGAGUUCAUCACCCCUACUCCCUCCAUGUAAACUCCCUGAGAGCGACCCAGGACAUGUGGACUUGCUUUAAAGCACACGGGCAGGUGCACAGAACAUGCUGAAGAAACACCUGUCCACGAUGAAGGUAAUCAUGGCGGCCCUGCCCUGCCCACCGAGCCAGCAGGGCAGUCACCUGGAGCAAUCCAGACCCUGUUGGGUGCUGGCCAGGCUAUUCCAUGCCGCCUGUGCCUCUCAUGCCAGAAGAAUCACUUACAUUGGAGCCUGGGGGUCCAACGCGGCCAGCAGCUCCAGGGAAUCCGGUGGCUCCCUGUGUGGGGAGAGGAGAGUCCCUGAGAACCUCAAGCCCUCAGGAGGUUCGAGAUUCAAAUGGGCGUGGGGUGUGGUCUCAGAGCCUGGUGUGGAAAGGGUGAGGGGCUGCAAAGCAGCAAGGGGGAGACAGGGAGGGAGAAAGGGUCCCCAGGUCUGGCCACAGAAGCAGGCACAGGCUGUUCCCCUGCCUCCGACUUCUGCAGUCAGCGCUUCAGGGAGCUGACCAAGGGGCAAGCCUCGAGCUGGGGAAUCCGGGACCACUGUGCACUCAGGCGCCCUCUCUCCCACCUGGCUGUGGGUGGCCUUAGGCUGGGGGCCAAUGCAGGGCUGGGAAAAGAGUGGGGGGCAUCCCAGAACACCCCCCGCCAUGGGAGCGUCUGGGGCCAGGCCCUCUUUGUGAGGUACAGGGUGGGUUGUGAGAGGCCUCACUCACCGGGGGGCCUUGGGCACCUCGGGCUCCUUUAGGACCAGUCACUCCAGUAGGACCCUGGGAAGGAAAGAGGGAGACAGUGAGGCCCAGUGUCCGGGGAGGUCAGUGGGCUUCUGUCUGAGCCCCAACAAUGGACCCUUGAGGUUUUCAAAGAUGCAGCUUUCUUGGCACUAAAAACCCAGCCUGAAGAGGCUGCCCCAGGCAAGUCUGUCCUCUCUGCCGCAGGAGACUUGUGUUCCAGUAGAAGCCCAUCAGGCAACCACGGAACUGGUCUGGGGUCUGGCCUCCCGGGAAGCUCUUCCCGCCACCGCUCCCUCCUCUCCAGGAGACCAGCAGCUUGGUUAUGGCGGUCGGUGGCCAGCCUGUACUCUGUCAGUCCCUCCACCCCACCCACACAGCCCACACGCCACAUGGGGACCAUGAAAGCUCCUUCUACCGACAUGGGGGUGUUCCCAGGCCUGUGAACCAGCCUCUGUCUACCGCCUGCUGGGGCCUCCGCAUCUGCACCCCAGGAGCCCUUCCUUGAGGGAACAAUUCUUUGGGGAGUGCAGCGUUACCCACCUGAGGCCCAGGCGCUCCAGAGGGGCCCUGAGGACCAGGGGCACCAGCGUCGCCUUUCUGGCCGGCCUCUCCUUGCUCACCCUUGGCCCCAGGCUGGCCAUCAGCACCCUAUAAUGGGAGGGAGGAGGUGGGCGAGUGAGAGGCAGGCCAAAGCCCUGGAGCUCUUCCAGAGGAGCGGGAGACUCUGAGUAUCUGCAUGUGUGUCCACCCUGGCCUGGACACGAUGGUUCUCUUGGUAUGGAGGCAGCAAAGGAGAGGAGAGGAGCCUCCAUUUCCCUCCCCGACAAGCUCUGAUGCCCGAGGGUGCUGGAUGUGGAGCUGGCCUGAGUGGAGGGAGCCAGGCAGAUGGAGAGAGAUACUCACGGGAGGCCCAGCAAAUCCUGCUGGUCCGGGGGGCCCAGUCUCUCCACGUUCACCCUGUGAGAGAAGGGGGCAUGGCGAGAGGUCAGGCCCCACUGCCUGACCUGCUUCUUCUCCCCUCCGAGAGCCCCUUGGGCCCUGCCCAGCCUCCUGUUCCCCAGAGACGGGCAACUGAAAGCAGCCUUAGUCCUAAACGCAGGCUGAGGCUCUGUUAACCCAAAAGCCCUCAACCUGAGCACAUCAUGGGAGUGACGUGCCCUCCCCCUUCCCUUCCCAUCUCUCCUCCCUCCCUAGACCCAGCGGGCAGGGAGGGAGCCAGUGCCUGGCAGCAUGCAGGGCCACCAGGCAGCACGAGGGCCCACCCUGGCUCCCUGGCUCUCUGGCUCCUGAGGGCCGAGGGCAGAGCCAGGCUCAGAGGGGCAGACACUCACCGGAGCGCCACGAGCACCAGCACUUCCUGCAGGACCAGGAGGUCCAACUUCUCCCUAAGGGCAGGGAGGGGAGGAAGAACCGGGGGUGAGAAGGUGGAGAGUCGAGUGGGAGAGGGCAAAGUGCAUUUGGGGGGCCUUGCUCAUGGGGAGGGGGCUCCAGGUCCCCCUGGCACAGCCUGUGUUACUGUGCAGCCCACACGCGCACCCUCUCGGCCUCUGCUGAAUGCACUUUUACCCCCAGCCCAGCUGUCCCACCCGACAGGGAACACUGCCAGUGGCUUCACUUCUGAGAGGACCCCCUCUUCACCCUCACAGCCCCGGCGGGCAGGAAGGUGACUGGUGAGUGAGGACAAGACAGAACAGCCUUUGGCAGGAGAUAAGAAGGAGGCAUGACAGGGAGGCAAGGCGUGGAGAGGAAAGGAGCCAGGACUCACCUUCUCGCCGUUAGCACCAGCCGGGCCAGGGGGGCCAAUGGGACCUGUCAGGCCCUGCGGGGAGAGCAGGUAGAGGUGCCACGAGGGAAUGGAAGCAAUCACAAGGGGCAGGAAUGUGGCAAAGCCACAUCUUUGGUGAGAGGCCGUAACCCCAGUACUUACCCUGUCACCCUUGGGCCCAGCGAUACCAGCUGCUCCCCUCUCACCGGGCAUUCCCUGAAGACCUGGAGGGCCCUGAGCCCCAGGGGGGCCUGCUGGGCCAGAUGCACCCUGGGAUGGAGUGGGACUCCCAGGCUGCCGAGAAGACCCCUACAGGACACAGCCUCACUUACUUUGGGACCAUCAGUGCCAGGAGUGCCAGGGAGGCCACGGGCACCUUGGAGGCCUUGGGAACCGGGAGAGCCACGUUCACCUGGGAAACCUCGUUCACCCUGCGGCAGAGACACCAAGAAGUGAUCAACCAAGAGCAAUGGGGGAGAAGGCCCAGGGAGAAGCAGGGAGGUGGGGAAAGGAGCAGGAGCCUAGAACCCAGGGCAGGCCCAAGGAGGCCGCCUGCAGCAGCCAACAGGACACUCACCCUGGGACCCACGAGGCCAGGGGCUCCAGCUUCACCGGGAACACCCUGGAGAAUAAAGAAAGAUGCGUGAGA